rnacentral:rRNA from 1 species
UAAUGCCGGAUGCUCCAGUUGAUCGCAUGGUCUUCUGGGAAAGCUUUCGCGGUAUGGGAUGGGGUCGCGUCCUAUCAGCUUGACGGCGGGGUAACGGCCCACCGUGGCUUCGACGGGUAGCCGGCCUGAGAGGGCGACCGGCCACAUUGGGACUGAGAUACGGCCCAGACUCCUACGGGAGGCAGCAGUGGGGAAUAUUGCACAAUGGGCGCAAGCCUGAUGCAGCGACGCCGCGUGAGGGAUGGAGGCCUUCGGGUUGUAAACCUCUUUUAUCGGGGAGCAAGCGAGAGUGAGUUUACCCGUUGAAUAAGCACCGGCUAACUACGUGCCAGCAGCCGCGGUAAUACGUAGGGUGCAAGCGUUAUCCGGAAUUAUUGGGCGUAAAGGGCUCGUAGGCGGUUCGUCGCGUCCGGUGUGAAAGUCCAUCGCUUAACGGUGGAUCCGCGCCGGGUACGGGCGGGCUUGAGUGCGGUAGGGGAGACUGGAAUUCCCGGUGUAACGGUGGAAUGUGUAGAUAUCGG